UUGGAAUUAAUGGAGUCAGAAGGACCCUCAGAGAGUUCAGAAUUUUUCUCACAGAAGGAAGAGGAAGAAGAAGUCCCAGAGCCAGAGGAAACCACCACAGUGAACCCCCUCUUACAACCUGCCCUCGCAGGGGAUGUAGAAGGUUUGCAGAAGAUUUUUGAGGAUUCUAAGAAUCCUCAUCAUGAGCAGGCCAUGCACCUACUCUUAGAAGAAGAUGUUAUUGGGAGGAAUUUGCUCUAUGCAGCUUGCAUGACUGGGCAAAGUGAUGUGAUUAGAGCUUUGGCAAAAUAUGGUGUGAAUUUGAAUAAAAAAACUGCCAGAGGGUAUACUCUCUUACACUGGGCUGCAGCCUGGGGUCGUUUGGAAACCUUAAAAGCACUGGUAGAACUGGAUGCUGAUAUAGAAGCUUUGAACUUCCGGGAGGAAAGACCUUGGGAUGUUGCUGCUAGGUAUUCCCAGACUGAGUGUAUUGAAUUCCUGGACUGGGCAGAUGCAAAGUUGUCUCUGAAAAAAUAUAUUGCCAAGGUUUCUUUAGCCAUUACUGAUACAGAAAAGGGAUCAGGGAAGCUUCUUAAGGAAGACAAGGUACUUAUUCUCUACUUCUGUUCCUAUAACGCCAUCCUCAAUGUGUGUCACACAAAAAACGAAUGGCUGGAAAUUCAUUCAGAUGCUUCCAUUAAUUAGCUCUUUGAACAGAGCCAGCAAUCAGAAUAUAUUGUGACUCCUAUCCUCACAAAAAUGGCUACACCACGUCAAGUAAAAAAUGACAAAUCUAUAAACUAAGCCAUGUUCAGAAGAAAAGACAAGAUUAUACCUUCUACUGA